AAGAUUUGAGAGUUGGAGGGAGACAGUGGGAGGAGAAAUGAGGAGGAAAAGGAGAAGAAGUCUGAGUGAGAGGGGGCCGGAAGUGGGAGGGAGAAAGAGGAUGGAAAUAUUGUGGAAGAAAAAUGUUUUAAGAAGGGAGUGUGAGGGAGAAGAAGCUGUAAAUACUCAUAUUUUAGGAAGAGAAAAGUUGGAAAGUGGAAAAAAGUUAAAAAGCAGAAAACAAAACAAAAAAGGAAAUCAAGGAAUAUUGGACAAAAUGGAUAGAAAGAGGGAAAGAGAGAGGAAGAGCAACAGGAAAUGCAAGUUGCAGACAGUGCCACUGUGUGCCCACCAUGACCAGACACCCUGCUUCCUCUCCUGUUAUGACCCGGAGACCGUGAUCGGGCCAUCUGUGCCACUUUGUGCCAGGUUCAGCAGACGGCUUCCCCUCUGACAUCAUCACUGUGAGACGGUGAUGUAGCUGCCAUUACAGGAGACGGGGCCAAAGCCAACAAUGGAGGACACUGACAGUGUGUCUGGUAUUUUGCUGGGCGUACAGUGGCUGACGUCUCUUUUUCUGACAGACUUUCAGAGUUUAGUCUGGCAUGAGUAGACUACACGCUACACAUUCUUAGCUCCCACAAUAGUAAGUAAAUAAAAUGAUAUUAUGGGGGCAAAGAAACACUGUGCAGAUUCUAUGUUUUGCCAUAAGCAGUGAAACAAGACGCAAACUGUUUUUCAUUGUAUACCUUCUUUUUUUUUAAGAUAAAAAAACCCUUUCACA